GAGGUAGACAGAAGACUUACCUAGUAUACUCUUUUUAUGGACAAGAAAACGGAGAAAGUUUAAAGAGACUUGACCCAGCUUAACAAAAGGUCUGAUGGAAGGCUUUCUCAUUUCACAGCUGACAGCACUGGAGACAGAGCAGAAUCACAGAAGAAGAAAAUAAUGAGACCCUCAACUGGCUCUGAGAAAGCAAGCUAUCAUCUUGUGAAAUGCCCUGUGGAAAAGCCCAUGUAGCAAAGGACAGCCAAUAGC